UACGAAGGGGGCUAGCGUUGCUCGGAAUCACUGGGCGUAAAGCGCACGUAGGCGGAUUGUUAAGUCAGGGGUGAAAUCCUGGAGCUCAACUCCAGAACUGCCUUUGAUACUGGCGAUCUUGAGUCCGGGAGAGGUGAGUGGAACUGCGAGUGUAGAGGUGAAAUUCGUAGAUAUUCGCAAGAACACCAGUGGCGAAGGCGGCGAUCUGGGUUGAUACUGACGCUGAGGUGCGAAAGCGUGGGGAGCAAACAGG
rnacentral:rRNA from 1 species